rnacentral:tRNA from 1 species
GGCCCGGUGGCGGAAUUGGCAGACGCAAGGGAUUUAAAAUCCCUUGUCCCGUAAGGGACGUGUGGGUUCGAUCCCCGCCCGGGCCA